rnacentral:rRNA from 1 species
AUGAAACUGCAAGGGGAAGCAUUACUGCAGCUGCUCGGAGGACACUCAAACGAGGCAAAAGAGGAAUCAGCUUGGACUUCCCUGUGGCACAUUAAGGUCCCAUCGAAAAUCAAGGUAUUUCUAUGGAGGCUAUGUCAUGAAUCAAUCCCAACAGCGGGGGUGUUGCACCACUGGAAUAUGUCAACUAUGAGUGUGUGCGCUUUUUGUUCUGCGGAAGAUGACUGGAAGCAUGCACUCAUAGACUGUGUGAUGGCUAGGAGUGUUUGGUCACUUUGUUCAGAGGAGACAGUGGAGACAAUGCUUGGCAAUCUUUCCCUAGAUGCGAAAAACUGGAUUUUCACAAUGCAUGACUCGCUGCCACAGGCGGAAUUUACACGGAUGGUGGUGACCCUUUGGGCAGUUUGGGGAGCAAGAAGGAGAGCUAUACACGAAGAGAUUUUUGAUAGUCCUUUUAAUACUUACUCUUUUAUAACCUCUUAUUUGAGGGAAUUGGAGAUGUUAGAUAAAGGAGUCAGAAGAGGACCAAAGCGAGCUAGCAUUAGACAGUCCACGUGGUUAUCCCCGGCUGAGGGUCAUGCAAAGAUGAAUGUGGACGUGGCAGUGUCCUGCAAGGGGAGUGUGGCGCAGCAGGAGUGGUGUGCCGGGACCAUAAUGGAAGAUUCUUGGGUGCUUCGACUCUAA